UCAAAUACUGCGUUUGUUUAUUGUACAAAUACGCAUAUUGCUAGCAUUUCAGUCCAGCAAGUUUUUUUCAAGGGGUAAAUGUUUAAACAGGCUUUAUAACACUAUCAUACAAAAACAAAGAAAACAAAUAAUCAUAUCAAUUGAAAUAAUACGGACACCAAAUCCAGGACAACAUCUUUUGAUCCUUGUUUAAAAAGGCCUGGUCCAGUUUUUAAAAAAAAUCCAAAAACAAUCCUGAUUUUCAUAUAAUCUUUCUACAACCUCAGAUGAAAUUAACAUUACCAAAGUGUUAGAAAUAUGGUCAAUGUUGUUGGGGGGGAAUGUACCAUAGAAAUGCAGGAGUUCAGCACAUUGCAACAGAUAUUGCACUCUGAAGGGAGAAUCAAAAGGCAGGAAAAUAGAACACUUGAGAGAAAAUGCAAAGCAAUUACAUUUAUCAUAAAAGAUGCUUUCUCCCACAUAGGACUAAUGCAGAUGGGCAUCAUGAUUAUGUUUUCUGGUUCAUUAAAAUAUUCAUUCAGUUUGGGCAUUAUUAUCCAUGACACCAUCUACACAUGGUAUAUGAAUAAUAUUUCAAAUCCAAAUGACAGACAAUACGAUCAUUUAGUGUCCAUGAAAAUGUGUCCAUGUCUUCUUUCAACAUGUGGUGUAUUAUGAUCCAUUUCAAAAUGUGUCCAGCAUGCCAGCAACAAGUCCACUCCGACAUUGGAUUUCACACUUAAAUAGACAUUAUAAACUGGGUAGUUUGGGUCCUGGAUGCUGGUUAGCUGAAACAGCAUUUCAGCCCUGUGUACAUCCGACAAUAUACCACAGUAUGAUGCAAAAAUACUUGUUUACUGUUCUAUUUACGAAGGUAACCAGUUUAUAAUAGCAAUAAGGCAACUCAGGGGUUUGUGGAAUAUGGCUAAUAUACCACACAUCCUGUGGCCUUAUUGCUUAAAUAUACUUAGAGACUCCAACUCAACCCAUUUUCUGGCCUGUCUUCCACAUGUCUUCUCUACACCUACAGGUUGUACUACUUCACCUGAUGAAGGCAUUUUGUGCUGGGUAUUGGCAUUUAAACUGAUAUCAACCCCCC
ensembl:lncRNA